rnacentral:lncRNA from 1 species
CUUUGCUACUCUCCACCCCUCCAGAAGGAUCUCAGUUUUAUCCCAAUGCCUUACGAGCAGUGGCACUGUCAUCUGCUGUGUCGAGGUCGUUGCAUGAACUUGCUGUGAAGGUGAAUAAUCUACCUUCCAUUUUAGAACUGCUGCUUUUAGUACAUUGCCCUUUCCACUAUUAUUACUAUUCCUCUCAUUAUUCACAUCUUGGUUACAAUAACCUCAAGAAAGAAACCUUUUCACAUCUAAUUGGGGUCUGUGUUAUAACACCUUUAGAUUAAUUAGACCAGUUCGGGUCUUUUGAGUGAUGCUGGCAAAUGAGCAGGCUAUUCAUGAGCUAACUUAUGUUUGGCUCGCAAAGGUUAGCAAGUGAGACAAGCUUAGCUCACUCAAGCUCAGCUUGAUUUAGCCUAAAAUUUAAAUAUGUACAUAAUUUAAUUGACAUAUUAGCUGUGUCUAUAACUAUUAUUAAUUAAAAAUAUUUUUAUAUUUAUUUUAUUAUAAAUUAAUAUAAUUUAUAAAAAAUAAAAUUUGAAUAAAUAAUUAAAAUAGAAUAAAAAUUUAGUCCAAACUAUAUAAAUGAUAGCAUUGAAAGAACUGAGCUCUCACCGGAUUUUUAAAUGAGCCAUUCAGGAAUAGCUCAAAUUUGGCUUGGAGUUUAAAUGAGCUUGCUCAAGCUCGACUCAAAUGUAAAACAAGCUGAGCUAGAGCCAUGCUUGGCUGGCUCAUGUUUGGCUCAUUUAUACCCCUAUGUUUGAGGCUGUACUAUCAUCAAAUAUUUCUAUGUUUACCUUGACAUAUCAAUUUGUUUAUGACCGUGUUGUUAUAUAGGUCAUUGCAGCCAAUAUGGUGAGGACAGACAAGUCGCUUUCAGGGACUCAUCUUCUUUGUGCUGUUGGAAGGUAUCAGGAAGCCUGUUCUCAGGUUAGGUGACCUCAUCAAGUAUGUUUAACUUUACCUUUGCAAAGCUGCACUUUUUUGGAAUGACACUUGCUUAUUAAUAGGAAAUAGUUUUUUUAUAGUUUAUUAGACAUAAGCACUUGCCAUGCAUAUGAAUGUAUUUUGUAAUACUGGGUAGCAUGCAAAAAGUAUUGUUCUGGGUGUUGGUGACGAACAUUACCUUGAGGCAUUGGAUGUAUCCUCAAAAGAUAGGAGAAAGAUAGGAUUUAUGGCUAAAUGCAUGAAUUUAUAAGCUAUAGCAUUAGGGGAAAAUUUAAAAAAAAAAAAAAACAAAAAAAAAAUAUAUAUAUAUAUAUAUAUAUAUAUAUAUAUAUAUAUAUNNNNNNNNNNNNNNNNNNNNUUCAAUGAGUUUUUAAUUAUCGAGAAUCCUGAGUAUUUUUGGAAUUAUUGAGUUGUUAAAUUGGGCAUGAUGUGAUAGUUAAAGAAUCAGGGCAGGAGAGCUUUCUUAGGUUUGUUGCUUUAGUUGGCUGUUCAUCUUUACAAAGUGUAAGUCCAGCAUAUCUUGUUAUGUCAUUUCAAUUGUUGGUGAAGUUUAUCAUUCAUGUAUGCAAAUUGGUGCUAACAUCGGUACACCUUCUGUUCUUUGAACUUGAGGUGUUCAUACAUGAAUUUGCGGUUCUGUUUAAAGGUUGUCCACCAAAGUUAAUGUAAAACUGAAUAGAGCAAUGAGCCAUCUCUUGUUGAAGUUAGCAGCUGCUAAGGAUAAUCGAUUUCAUGCAAACAGUCAUCUAUUUAAAAACUAAGGCUUCAUUCAUAAGCUUAAAAAUUAUUUUUCAGGGUGGGGGUUUGCAUAGUAUUAUAUGCCUUGAUAUAAAGAUUAUGUUGUUGCAUUGAAUGACAAUUAUGAUAUACCCAACCUCCUAUGGUAAAAAUGUUGCAUUAAUUUUGACAUGUAGCAUAUUAGGCCAAAUUCAUCGAGUUACAUAGAGGUAUGCCCUUUCAGCAAGCAACCAAAGUGGUUGGUGAAUUUAUAUACCAUACAUAAACAAGGGUAGAAAAAAAUGUUGCAUCACAUGCCAUCUAGAAUAUUAGGCCACAUUCAUCGAGCUACACAGACAUAUGCCCUCUCAGCAAGAAACCAAAGUGGUUGGUGAAUUCAUAUUACCAUACAUGAAUAAAGGUGGCCCAAUGCAUAAGGCUUCUGCCACUGCCAUGUCAGGGGAGGAUCAGAUAUAUGCAGCAUUACCUCAUGUGAGGAGAGGUUAUUUCUAUUAUUCGAACCGAUGACAGCAAAGUCAUGAUGGAGCACCCUUACAGUUAUGCCAAGGCUCACCCUUUCGUAAACCAUGCAUAAGUUCUACCGAAUAAAUCGCAUACUAAUUCAUAUAAUGUGUAUUGAACAAAACAUAGACGCCAUACUAUAUUCGAACAAAUGAUCAUGUGUCAAACAAUACAUACUUCAUGCUAUUUUAUUUUUCAAGAAGUAAUUAUAUAGUUAUGGUAGAUUUGUAGUUAAGGAAAUAAGGGUAGCAUAGCAACAAUAUAGUGUAACGGGCAUCUUAGCACAUGAGGCUCAUGCCACUAUUGCGUUUGGUGAGGGUUAGAUGCAAAGAAGGCUGAAUCGAUACUGGCCAGCAUGCCGGUUGCCGGCAGGUAUGGUAUGAUGCUGGUUGCAUACCAUAUCGUAUUGACAAUAAAAAAAAAUCCACCAACUGGCAGUAAAAAAAAUGGUAACCAUGUCGAACUGAUCGGUUCGGCCCUGAACCAUGCCAAAUUGGGCAGUUCAGCUCGGUUCGGCGUUAAUUUGAAAAAUAGGGCCGAACUGGAUCAUUUCUGUGCCAGUUCGGCUCGAUAUGGGCCAAAUUGGACAGUUCAGUCCGAUUCAGCAAACCAUGGUUAGAUGUAUGCAGCCUGACCUUCAUAUAUAAAGAGGUUAUUUCUGUGUUUUGAACUCGCGAUACCCAGGUUAUAAUGGAUUGACCCUAUGAUUGUGCUAAAGCCCACCCUCCUUAGCAACUAUGUAAUGUGAGCCAAAAAAAUAUUUCAGAUAUGAUCCUUCAUCAAUUGUUUGAUAAGUCUAACUAGGUAAAUUUAUAAUUAUAUAGAUACUUAUCAAAAUGAAAUUUACAACUUAAAUUUGCAUUAAGGUGUGAACUUGGCAUUAGGACUGCCCUCAUUCAAGUACUAUUGUAAUAAAUAUAUAAAGUUUUAGACUAAUUAGAUACAGUUCAUCUGAUUCUAUAAAUGAUUUGGGCUUUUGAGCUCAAAGCCUUGAACCAUAGUCUUAAUGCCAUCUGAGUGGGGAGCAGGGCCUGCUAUAUAUAGACUCUCAUGUCAUUUUUCGUCACACAAGAAUCUCUUAGAAAACUUAAAGUCUCUUACAUCAAACUGUUUUAACUUUUUUCUAGAACUUCAAUGAAACUGAACUCCUAAUGUUGCAGCUACAAGAUGCUGGGUGCUGGACAGAUGCUGCUACUUUAGCUGCAACUCAUUUGCAUGGAUCUGAUUAUGCAAGGUGCCAUAAAUUCUCAUAUCUUAUCUGGAGUAAUAAUCUAAUUCUCAUAUCUUAUCUGGAGUAAUAAUUUAGUUUCUGUAUAUUCUUGGAACUUUAUUUUCUUACAAAAAAUCUGUUUACAGUUCAAUAUCCUGUAUAUCAGUUGGCUUAUUAUAUGAUGUUGCAGGAGUUAGUAGUUGAAUUAAGAACAAACUUUGGUAUAGGCUAGGUUGAAGCAAAUUUGAGAAAGUUUUAAAGUAAGAGUAUUGUACUUGCUCACUUAGGUUCUGCAUUGAUAUGCAUAUUGUGUUACAACUCGGUAUAUGGCUGAAGAAGACAACCAUGCCUUGGAUAUCCUAAAGAUUAAAUUUACACAUAGGAAAGUAUUUUUCAGGCAUAGAUUGGUCUACUGUUUAAAGAUGGUGGAUAUACUUUAUAAAUUUAGAGAGAUGUAGCUCUUGUAAACACAUUGAGACCAAGUUCUCAAGGUUAUUUAAGAUCACUCUUCCAACAUGUGAUGUCAUGAUUGUCCUUCAGCCUAUGUCAAUCUGUUCUACACAUGAGAAGUGAUUAACAUGAGGAAAAAGGCAGAUAUGGGAUCACAGCAUGAACCCUUAUAGCCUCCAUGGCUCCAACAAAUAAUUUUCUCCUCUGAGAACUCCUGGUGAUAAAUUCUUCCUAUCCCAGAAUUGCUCCAAGCACCUAUUUCAUUAUUCAGUGAUACAUUAGCUUAUCCCAUCUGUCAUCUUUCUUGCCUAAACAUUUAUGUCAUAUUAUUGUUUGUCAUGCUGUGUUGUCUUGGCUUCAAAUGUAAUACUUCCUGCUAUUCUCUGUCAACAUCUGGCAUGCGCUAACACAUACUGGAACACAGAUCAGAAAUUUAGUUAAACAAAACUUGCAAAGACCAUAUCCAAUUGAGACCAUUUUCAGGAAUGGACAUACGAUGAGCAUUGAAUCAUGUUUUGUUUAAAUGGAUCUUAGACCUUGUAUCAUUUCAAUGAUGAAUGUUGAAGUUGAUACACAUACUAUUGGUUGUCAUGCUUAAAAUAUUGCUGAAAGAUAUGGGUGCUCAACAUCAUAUGCAGCUAAUAUUAGGAACUUCACAUGGGAGAUCCAAUCUCCGAGAUUUAUAGAUAAUGCACUCGCUUUUAACAAAAUAAGGCCAUGCCUGUAAGCUGCAGUAUGGGAGGGAUGAAAAAAAUAGUAGUGAUGUUAUUUAGUUCUUUUACCCAAUCUAGAACAAAAUGCCAUGGUUUCUAUGUUUCUUAAAUGGAUCAGAAUAUGCUCUCACCUUUCAAUCUUUUGAAACAUUCUCAAAUUCAUGGUACCUGUCCAAUUGCUUGUCAUCAUAAAUCUUGAAUAAGAAGCACUCGUGGUCAUCUUGGUUGCAGAAGGGAGUGAAGAACAGUGAAGUUUUGAUGACCCAAGUCCUGAAAAUUCCAUCAUUUGGUGGCAACAUGAGUCGGUAAAUCUUAGCUUAAUUUAAGUAUAAUCAUGCAUGGCCGUCCAAGUGAUUGUCCAAAAGAUUAAAAAAAAAAUUUAAAUUGUCAAAUUAAUGUACUAAAUAACAUCUUACUGUUCAAACAACACCUUUUUGUUUAUAGGCUUAUUUAACAGGCUUUUGAAAUUGAGUCAGUUCACUUUGGUAAUUUAUAAUCAAAUCAUGAAAAGUAAGAACCAAACAAUUAAAAACAUUUAACUGGAUGUACUAAAUAGUAUCUUCUUAUCAAAAUGCUACAUUGUUUACUAAUUACUAGCUUUCUGAAAUAAUUUAGUUAUUUUUACCGAAAACUAAAGAGGUAUAUGAAUCAUACAACCCUGUAUAAAAAAACUAAAAUCUUGUUUACCACUAAAUUCAAAAAACAUUGUUUCAUGUAUAAGAAAAUUCUAUGAGAAAAAAAUAAAUUCUACUAAAUUUUUAAUCACAAUAAAUAGCUUAUGGAAUUGGCGAAUCAUCUUUGAGAAGUGUAAUUCCAUAUGAUUUUAUUUUUAACAUAUCUUUAGAAUAUGCCUCUUCAUAUCAUAGAAGUCUAAAUCUGUACCUUAAGUAAUUAGAGUGUUGAGUUGACUCAUGCACCUCAUAUAAUGGGAACACAUCAAUAUGCCUAAAUGCUGAUUUGCCAGGAAUGUUUAAGAUAUUAUAAUUUGAGCUUGCUGACAAAAGGAAAAGCAACACCAGGUUGAGUGUUGCAUAUAUUGUUUUUAUGUGAUAUUAUUUUUUUAAAUAUUAUGGUCACCAAUAUAGAUUUUUUUAAGGGGAAAAAAAGAAAGUCUUAUCUCAGUUAUCUGAACUUUAAAUGUUAAUGUAACUUUAGUGGCUAAUCCAGCAAAACUGACAUGUCCCUUAUCUUGAUUGUUCACUAACAAUGAAGUUAUCAAAUAAUUCUAUUAUAUAUUCGCUAUAAGUUAGACCUUUAUAUUUAGAUUUUUUCUGGCGUCAUCUUUCCUGCACAUGUUUGUUGUUUAUUUUAGCAUUUAUUUAGAUAAAGGGUGCCAGCUAGUUCAGUUGGUAAGGUCACUGGAUGUCGGAUACUAGUAACCUGGGUAAGAAGCCACCCUCACUCUAUCUCACUUGGGCUUUUUCCUGUCCUAGUUAUCCUUUUUUUAAUAAAAAAAAUGAGGGUUGCACUUUCUCACAGCUGAAAAAUGAGCAUUGGGUGAUUAUCAUUUUGCCCGAGGUUUAUCUUUACAGCAUAGUGUUGUUUUACAUUUUUCUUUUAAAAAAAUUAUAAAUGAUGGAUAUGUCUGGGGUUGCUUAUUCAAAUUGGAAGGUAUUUAUUUGGAAAUGACCUCCCUCUUAUGUUUUGAAUGUUUUUUUCCUUCUUUGAUGCAUUACUUUGCAGGGUUCUGCAAAGAUGGGCUGACUAUGUUCUUUAUAAUGAACAUAACAUCUGGAGGUAACUUGAUUCUGUAGAUUAUAUUUUACAAAGAUUUCAUUUACCCUUCUGCUGCUAUCAACUGACAAUUUGUUCGGCCCCAUUCUUAACAGAGCUCUGAUUUUGUAUGUUGCUGCUGGAGCACUCCCUGAGGCUUUAUCAGCUCUUAGAAGUGCGCAGCAGCCUGACACAGCUGCCAUGUUUUUGCUUGCCUGCCAUGAGAUAAAUGCACAGAUUGCCUCAAAAUCUGGACCAUUAGAUGAACAAUUGGAAUCCACACUUGAGAUGAAACAAAAAUUUCACUUGCCUAGCAGGAAUUUGGAGGAUGAAGACCUAAUUGCUGUUAGCGAGUACUACGGACAGUACCAACGGAAAUUGGUGCAUCUUUGCAUGGAUGCAGCACCACUAUUUGACUGAGCAAUCACAAAAUGUUUAGAAGCUGCUAUUAUCCAAGCUUAAGUUG